rnacentral:rRNA from 1 species
CCUUAGAGUUUGAUCCUGGCUCAGAUUGAACGCUGGCGGCAGGCCUAACACAUGCAAGUCGAGCGGAAACGAGUUAUCUGAACCUUCGGGGAACGAUAACGGCGUCGAGCGGCGGACGGGUGAGUAAUGCCUAGGAAAUUGCCUUGAUGUGGGGGAUAACCAUUGGAAACGAUGGCUAAUACCGCAUGAUGCCUACGGGCCAAAGAGGGGGACCUUCGGGCCUCUCGCGUCAAGAUAUGCCUAGGUGGGAUUAGCUAGUUGGUGAGGUAAUGGCUCACCAAGGCGACGAUCCCUAGCUGGUCUGAGAGGAUGAUCAGCCACACUGGAACUGAGACACGGUCCAGACUCCUACGGGAGGCAGCAGUGGGGAAUAUUGCACAAUGGGCGCAAGCCUGAUGCAGCCAUGCCGCGUGUAUGAAGAAGGCCUUCGGGUUGUAAAGUACUUUCAGCAGUGAGGAAGGGGGUGUCGUUAAUAGCGGCAUCUCU